UACGUAGGGGGCUAGCGUUGUUCGGAAUCAUUGGGCGUAAAGAGCGUGUAGGCGGCUCGAUAAGUCCGCUGUGAAAGUCCAGGGCUCAACCCUGGGAUGCCGGUGGAUACUGUCGGGCUCGAGUCCGGAAGAGGCGAGUGGAAUUCCUGGUGUAGCGGUGAAAUGCGCAGAUAUCAGGAGGAACACCAAUGGCGAAGGCAGCUCGCUGGGACGUGACUGACGCUGAGACGCGAAAGCGUGGGGAGCAAACAGG
rnacentral:rRNA from 1 species